rnacentral:rRNA from 1 species
CGAAAGCCUGACGGAGCAACGCCGCGUGGGGGAAGAAGGUUCUUGGAUUGUAAACCCCUUUUCUCAGGGAAGAAGUUCUGACGGUACCUGAGGAAUCAGCCUCGGCUAACUCCGUGCCAGCAGCCGCGGUAAUACGGAGGAGGCAAGCGUUAUUCGGAAUUAUUGGGCGUAAAGCGUCCGCAGGGGGCUCAUCAAGUCUGCUGUCAAAGGUUGGAGCUCAACUCCGGUAGAGCAGUGGAAACUGGUGCGCUAGAGGGCGACAGGGGUAGAGGGAAUUCCCAGUGUAGCGGUGAAAUGCGUAGAGAUUGGGACGAACACCGGUGGCGAAAGCGCUCUACUGGGUCGCACCUGACCCUCUGGGACGAUAGCUAAGGUAGCG